CCCUUAGAUGUCCUGGGCCGCACGCGCGUUACACUGAUGCAUUCAACGAGCUUAUAACCUUGGCCGAGAGGCCUGGGCAAUCUUGUUAACGUGCAUCGUGAUAGGGAUAGAUUAUUGAAAUUAUUAAUCUUGAACGAGGAAUUCCUAGUAAACGCAGAUCAUCAAUCUGCAUUGAUUACGUCCCUGCCCUUUGUACACACCGCCCGUCGCACCUACCGAUUGGAUGGUCCGGUGAGGCUUUGGGAUCUGAGCGGAAAGAGCGUUUCGCUGUUUCUGCCCGGAAAACUCAGUCGAACCUUAUCAUUUAGAGGAAGGAGAAGUCGUAACA
rnacentral:rRNA from 1 species